rnacentral:sRNA from 1 species
UUGAGAUAAAAUGUAUUUGGGUUAUGAUUACGAUUAUGAUUUUAUUAAAUUUUGCACAAUCUGUAUUAAGUCAUGGUGUUGUAUGCCAAGUGAAAUGUAAUGUCCAAUGUGAGUUUAUUGGAUAUAGUCAAAAAGCGUUUGACAAUUGUGUCAAAAAGUGUGAGUCACAAUGUGGCCAAUUAUCCAACGAUCCUUUCUACAAAUGUAUCAGUAACUGUCACUUAAUGAAAUCUGCCACCAUCAACAACGGUGCUCGUGAUACUGGGAAUAAUGAGAUGGAUACCUGCAUACAAAAGUGCAA